rnacentral:rRNA from 1 species
UCGAUUUGAGUUUGAUCCUGGCUCAGAGUGAACGCUGGCGGCAGGCCUAACACAUGCAAGUCGAGCGGCAGCGGGUCCUUCGGGAUGCCGGCGAGCGGCGGACGGGUGAGGAAUGCAUCGGAAUCUGCCUUUUUGUGGGGGAUAACGUAGGGAAACUUACGCUAAUACCGCAUACGACCUACGGGUGAAAGCCGGGGACCUUCGGGCCUGGCGCAGAGAGAUGAGCCGAUGCCGGAUUAGCUAGUUGGCGGGGUAAAGGCCCACCAAGGCGACGAUCCGUAGCUGGUCUGAGAGGAUGAUCAGCCACACUGGGACUGAGACACGGCCCAGACUCCUACGGGAGGCAGCAGUGGGGAAUAUUGGACAAUGGGCGCAAGCCUGAUCCAGCCAUGCCGCGUGUGUGAAGAAGGCCUUCGGGUUGUAAAGCACUUUUGUUGGGGAAGAAAAGCACUGGAUUAAUACCUUGGUGUUCUGACGGUACCCAAAGAAUAAGCACCGGCUAACUUCGUGCCAGCAGCCGCGGUAGUACGAAGGGUGCAAGCGUUACUCGGAAUUACUGGGCGUAAAGCGUGCGUAGGUGGUUCGUUAAGUCUGAUGUGAAAGCCCCGGGCUCAACCUGGGAACUGCAUUGGAUACUGGCGAUCUGGAGUGCGGUAGAGGGUGGCGGAAUUCCCGGUGUAGCAGUGAAAUGCGUAGAUAUCGGGAGGAACACCCGUGGCGAAGGCGGCCACCUGGACCAGCACUGACACUGAGGCACGAAAGCGUGGGGAGCAAACAGGAUUA